GAAUUGCGAUAAGUAAUGUGAAUUGCAGAAUUACGUGAAUCAUCGAAUCUUUGAACGCAUAUUGCACUCUCUGGUAUUCCGGGGAGUAUGCCUGUUUGAGGGUCAGUAAAUAAUAAUUAUCAUAAUCUUUUGAUUGUGGAAUUGGGCCUUUAUUUCAUUUUUAAUGAUUUAUGGCCUUAAAUUUAUGUUACCGCUUGUUUAAUAUGAAAUUCGACCGAAUGGAGCAAUUAAACAUUCUCUCGUUAGGCGGAUUCUCAUCAAGCAAUUACGAUUUUUUUGGCCGUCGAAGCACUUUUUUUUUUAGAAGUGCUUGGUCGAGAUUGUAAGAUACAUUUUUAACAAUGACCUCAAAUCAGGCAAGAAUACCCGCUGAACUUAA
rnacentral:misc_RNA from 1 species